rnacentral:rRNA from 1 species
UACGUAGGUGUCAAGCGUUUGUCCGGAUUUAUUGGGCGUAAAGCGCCCGCAGGCGGCUUGCCAAGUUCGAUGUGAAAUCUCCCGGCUCAACUGGGAGGGUGCAUCGAAAACUGGCAGGCUUGAGGCAGGGAGAGGGAUGUGGAAUUCCAGGUGUAGCGGUGAAAUGCGUAGAUAUCUGGAGGAAUACCGGUGGCGAAGGCGGCAUCCUGGACCGGCAUUGACGCUGAUGAGCGAAAGCUAGGGGAGCAAACGGGG